UGACAGUAUUGAACAGUGCAUUUCCGUUUUGCAGGGUACUCUGUUGGAGCUGGACAUUUUCUGGCAUCAUCUAGCACAGAAGUAAUUGGAGGGGCUCCCCAACAGGAGCAGACUGGUAAAGCGUACAUUUUUAGCAUUGACAAGCAACUGAAUAUUCUGUUUGAACUAAGAGGUAAAAAGCUUGGUUCUUACUUUGGGGCUGCGGUUUGCGCUGUGGACCUGAAUUCAGAUGGCCUCUCAGACUUGCUAGUUGGUGCUCCCAUGGAAAGUACCAUCAGAGAAGAAGGAAGAGUUUAUGUCUACAUCAAUUCAGGUUCUGUAAGUAUUUUCUCUCAAAAUACGUUGUACCACAGUUGUUCUUGUAUAACAAGCUAAAAGAUU